rnacentral:ribozyme from 1 species
UUUUUUUUUUUUUUUUUUUUUUUUUUUUUUUUUUUUUUUUUUUUUUUCG